rnacentral:rRNA from 1 species
AACGAACGCUGGCGGCAGGCUUAACACAUGCAAGUCGAACGGGCACCUUCGGGUGUCAGCGGCAGACGGGUGAGUAACGCGUGGGAACGUACCCUUCGGUUCGGAAUAACCCAGGGAAACUUGGGCUAACACCGGAUACGUCCGCAAGGAGAAGAUUUAUCGCCGAAGGAUCGGCCCGCGUCGGAUUAGCUAGUUGGUGGGGUAAUGGCCCACCAAGGCGACGAUCCGUAGCUGGUCUGAGAGGAUGAUCAGCCACACUGGGACUGAGACAC